rnacentral:lncRNA from 1 species
GUUUAAAUUUGUUAUCUCAUCAUGUUAUUUGUUAUGAGUUGUAUUUAAAAAAUCAAAGUUUUUGUCAUAAACUGUUAUUAUGAAGUUGACAGUAUACAUAUAAAGGUAAAGUACAGUUUUUAUUGAGAAAAGUUAUUAGGAGUAUGUUCCAAAUUUUUGUUGAUUUCAUGAGUAAAGGGGAACCAGGUACUUACUGUAUGUUAAAUAAAGUAUGCAUUUUCUUUAGGCUUGUAUUGCAG